GAUGAACGCUGGCGGCGUGCCUAACACAUGCAAGUCGAGCGGAGUUAGGUUGGUGCUUGCACUAACCGAAGCUUAGCGGCGGACGGGUGGGUAACACGUGGAUAAUCUGCCCAAUGCUAGGGGAUAACGCCCAGAAAUGGACGCUAAUACCUUAUAAGCUCACACCAUCGCAUGGUGGAGUGAGAAAAGAUUUAUCGGCAUUGGAUGAGUCCGCGUCUGAUUAACUAGUUGGUGGGGUAAAGGCCUACCAAGGUUGCGAUCAGUAGCCGACCUGAGAGGGUGAUCGGCCACACUGGGACUGAGACACGGCCCAGACUCCUACGGGAGGCAGCAGUGAGGGAUAUUGCACAAUGGACGAAAGUCUGAUGCAGCAACGCCGCGUGAAGGAAGAAGGUUCUCGGAUCGUAAACUUCUAUCGAUGGGGACGAAUAAUGACGGUACCCAAGUAAGAAGCCCCGGCUAACUACGUGCCAGCAGCCGCGGUAAAACGUAGGGGGCAAGCGUUAUCCGGAAUUACUGGGUGUAAAGGGUGAGUAGCCGGUUAGGCAAGUCAUAUGUGAAAUUCCAAGGCUCAACCUUGGGACUGCAUAAGAAACUGCUUAACUAGAGUGCAGGAGAGGUAAGCGGAAUUCCUAGUGUAGCGGUGAAAUGCGUAGAUAUUAGGAGGAACACCAGUGGCGAAGGCGGCUUACUGGACUGCAACUGACGGUGAGUCACGAAAGCGUGG
rnacentral:rRNA from 1 species